rnacentral:rRNA from 1 species
UACAGAGGUCUCAAGCGUUGUUCGGAUUCAUUGGGCGUAAAGGGUGCGUAGGUGGCGUCGUAAGUGGGGUGUGAAAUCCCGGGGCUUAACUCCGAAACUGCAUUUGAUACUGCGGUGCUUGAGGACUGGAGAGGAGACUGGAAUUUACGGUGUUGCAGUGAAAUGCGUAGAGAUCGUAAGGAAGACCAGUGGCGAAGGCGGGUCUCUGGACAGUUCCUGACACUGAGGCACGAAGGCCAGGGGAGCAAACGGG